rnacentral:rRNA from 1 species
CAGCCGCCGCGGUAAUACGUAGGUCCCGAGCGUUGUCCGGAUUUAUUGGGCGUAAAGGGAGCGCAGGCGGUUUAGUAAGUCUGAAGUUAAAGGCAUUGGCUCAACCAAUGUAUGCUUUGGAAACUGUUAGACUUGAGUGCAGAAGGGGAGAGUGGAAUUCCAUGUGUAGCGGUGAAAUGCGUAGAUACAUGGAGGAACACCGGUGGCGAAAGCGGCUCUCUGGUCUGUCACUGACGCUGAGGCUCGAAAGCGUGGGUAGCGACCAGGAUUAGAUACCCCAGUAGUCCCUGUCUCUUAUACA